rnacentral:misc_RNA from 1 species
CACAAAAUGGCGUAUUGCGACGGCACAUGUAUUUUGUGAAAAUUUCCACAUUUGAUUAACUUUUAGACGUCACAGGAAAUAUCUGUUGCAAAUAUGACAUCUGGAUAUCAAGAUUACUACCAGUAUGGCCAGGACUACCAAUACGGGGAGUAUCCAUACAGCACUACAGCAGUGGCACCAUCCGCCUCAGCCACCCAGCCAGCGGCAGCUGCCCCUCAAGCAGUAGCUCCCCCUCCAGUAGUUGCCAGCACCCCAGCGGCUGCCCAGCCCUCCACCCCUCAGACAGCCACCCCUCCUGUGGCUCCUGCCUACGAUCAGUCCGGCUACCAGCAAUACGACCAGAACUACCAGUACUCGCAGAGCACCACAGACUACGGUUCCUGGCAGGCCCCUCCACAGGACUACUCCCAGUACCAGGGUAGUGACCAGUUCGCCAAUACUAACACGAACAGCAACGCGCAGUACACAGGAGCACCGGGGCAGUACGGACAGGAGACGGCCGGGUAUGGCCAGGCAGGAGCUAGCACGCAGUACAGUCAGAGCACGCCUGCAGCACAGUACUCUCAGAACAGUGCCAGUGCCGGUUAUGAGACGUCGAGUGCAGCGGCCACUCCAUAUUCACAGGCCCCAUACAGCCAGCCGGCGAGUACGUCUCAGUAUGCACCAGUUGACAGUCAGUACGGCACAAGCAAUCCUCCUUACGGACAAGACCCGCAGUAUGCCCAGGCGGCGCCGUAUUCCCAGAAGUCGGCCUAUGACCAGACAAGCAGUCAGUAUGGACAGGACCCAAGUCCGUACCAGCCGGCAGCGGACCAGUACCAGCAGUACAGCAAUGGUCAAAGCGCUAGUCUGAGCAGUCAGCCUGUGAGUGGACAGUACAGCCAGCCACCGGCGGCGCAGUACAACCCACCGACUACACCGACGGGACAGUAUGGUCAGGCUCCGCCUCCAGCCGGUGGGUACAGUCAGCCUCCUGUUGGUCAGUACGGCCAGACGUCCACUCCGUAUAGCGGCCAGGCUAGCAGUGUAGCCCCUCCAGCAGCAGGAGCACCACCGUAUUCACAGAGCACCGACCAGUACGCGUCGAGCACCAGUCAGUACGUGCAGCCCACUUCUUACUCUCAGAACACCAGUGGGUACGGGCAAGACAGUCAGUACAGUCAGGGCUCCACUCAGUUUGGACAGAGCACUGCCCCCGUGACUGGAGGUCCAGCGACGGACUACAAGCCUGGCUAUAGUCAAGAAGGUUACAGUGUGGACUCGACCCCUGGGAGCCGGUACGGAGCUGGCACACAGCGAUCGUCGUCCAGCCAGUAUGGUCAGCAGCAGGGAUACAGCCAGAGCUCCCAGUACAGUCACGUGCAGUCGAUGCCCAGCAAAGACAGCAGCUACAGACCCUACAGCAGCAACAACCGGUCUGACUUCCAGCCCACUCAGUCUUCAUCUUCGUCGUCGUAUCGACCAAGUUCUGGACGCGAUUUCAACUCGAGUCAAAGUCAAGAUGAUUCGAGGCAAGACAGCUUUGGCUCCAGAGGUUUUGGAAGUUACAGUCGGUCAUCACGAGGAUUCCGGGGCAGUCAGCGUGGUGGCAGCUCAUCUCAGAGCUUUAGGCAGUCGUCUCCGAAUUCAUCCUCUGACAGGUUCACCAGCAGUCAGGCUGAUCGAGAUUCUAAUGAUCGUGGCGGGGGUAGCUUUCGUCAGGAUUCGUCGAGCUUCAGAGGGCGAGAUUCGCGAGGAAGAGGAAGUUAUCAAAACUUGUCCGAUUCUAGACGCAGUGGGAUGGACAGUAGAGGAAGGGGAGGCUUCCAGAGUGGCUCAGAUUCAAGGGGUGGAGCGAGUUUCCGCGGAGAUAGAGGGGGGUCGAGAGGAGGGUUCAGUAGGGAUUCUCGUGGUGGCUCUGUUAUGCAGGGUAAAUCCGAGUUCGGUCGUGGUGGUAGAGGUGGUAGUUUUGGCCAUGAGUCGAGAGGGGGUAGUAGUUUUGGCCACGAUUCGAGAGGGGGUGGCAGCUUCGGACGUGAUUCACGAGGGGGUGGUAGUUUUGGACAUGAUUCGAGAGUGGGUGGCAGUUUUGGUCAUGAGUCGAGAGGUGGGGGCAGUUUUGGUCACGAGUCGCGAGGUGGCAGUCGCAGCUUUGGCAGUAAUCAGUUUGUUAAUCGAAGUGCUACUGGAGAGUCUAUUAAAGUGCUGGCAAAAUAUGACAAUGAACACCCUAAGAAUGGAUCCAAACCAUCUGGCACUGCAGCCGUUGGCAAGGUAACGACAAGUUCAAGUGUCAAGACGGGACCUGGGGAUGCUAAGCCAGGGGCUAAAGCUGGAGCACCUGGUGCUAGUAAAUCUCUGACCCCGGCUUCGAAACCAGGAACUCUGGCUGGUGGGAAAUCUCAGACACCCGCAUCAAAAUCUGAAACAGGAGCUCCUGGUACUGACAAGUCACCGACGCCAGCAUCUAAACUGGGAACAAAGACAACACCAGCAGCAAAGUCUACCACAUCGACGUCAAAAACGACUGCAGGUAGCACACCUGCGACGGGAACCAAAUCUACAGUUAGUACCACGUCUUCAACAACAACUACGUCUACGACCGCGAGCAGCACUGGUAUUGCCUCGUCGACCAAGGAUGCGAAUAAGAAGGCGGAAGGGCAGCAGGGGGAGAUGUCGGGACCUCUACCGACUCUGCCGCCAGAGAUUCCCAGCGUCGCUCUAGGCUGCUCGGAUGUGCCUGGCAAAACCCCGGAGAAACUGCAGAAGCUGUGUGACAUGUUGGAGCCUCUGUUCUGCAAGCUGUGCGGCAUGCACCUGAAGAUCCGCUCGCAGGCUGACCAGCACUACCUGGGCAAGAACCACGCCAAGAAGGUGCGGCUCUUCUUCGCAGUCAGGUCGGGGAGCAGUGACGAUGAGGCCGACAAGACGGAAGGGGACGAGAAAAAAAUAGAGUCUGCGGAUAUGAAGGAGGUGAGUCCCGAGGUGUACUGUAAAGUGUGCGACGUCUCCUUCACGUCCGUCCGCCAGUCCAUCCAGCACUACGGUGGAAAGAACCACCAGAAGAAAGCCAAGACGAGUUCCGGUGAUUUACCUGCAGUUCCGACAACGGCCACUGCAACGCCCGCCACUGAGGAGGCCUCUGGCGAUGCCAAGCCGGCUGUGUUUGAGUGUGAGCUGUGUUGUGUGCAGGUCACCUCCCAGGAACAGCUGAACAUGCACCUGAACGGCGUCAAGCACAAGACAAAGGUCCGCAACCAGGAGCGCAUGGAGAAGCAGGAACAGCGCCUACAGGAGCAGGUGUUCCGCGGGCGGGGGAGGGGCCGCGGUUUCAGGGAUGGACGCGGGGGGAGGGGAGGCUUCCGGGAGCGAGACAACUUCCACGAUAACUUCAUGGCCGAACCCUUCAUGCGAGACAACUUCCCAGGCGAUUUCCGCGGGGACUUCCAUGGUGGACGAGGAGGUAGAGGAUUGAAGAGACAGUUUGGUCGUGGUAUUGGCGGUAUUCCCCCCUUCAUGAUGGGUGGUGGGCCACCCUCUCUCAUGGGUGAUGACUUCUUCGCACCCAGUUUCAACAAACGCCCAAGGUGGUAAUUACUGAUAUGAAAUCAUGGACAUUGAAACACAUUUUCUGCUCUGAACUGGCCAGAGAAAAAGAAGACAUCUUUAAAGAACGAUCACACACAACAAUUGAUGCAUUGAUGAUUAUUACUCAUGGACAACAGUUGUACCAAGAGCCAGAGUUUAUCACAGGCAUCAAGCGAUGAAGAAAACUGCGAUGAUCCAAGGAAAAUCAGAUACCUAAGGGCUAGCAGUGAUCCACUGGCAAGAAGUGAACCUCACAUAAUCUGAGGACAAGUGAUGAUCAAGGACACAAGGGCUUGCUAAAGGAAAGUGUGUUG